UCCCACUGCUAUUUUGGAUACUUGAAUUCACUUUUUCUACACCCUCCUCCCCAGGCAAGCUUUAAAAUCCAGAUAAGGCCUGCUCCAUUCGUUUAUUCUUUCCUUCAUCCUACAACCUGCACUGAGUUCCUAUGUGAACCAGGUGCUAGAGAUGAAAAGAUGACGAUGAUUCAAUCCCUGCCCUCUGGAAGCUUAUGAGUGUGUGAGGUUAGACAAAGAGGAUGCUAAGUUCAACAUACCAAGGACUCCAGGACGAGCAACAAAGUGCUUUGAAAGGACAACUGUACUGACCCAGUGGAACCUCGCCUUGCUCAUCCAUUCACCCAUCACGGACUUACAGAGCACCUGCUGUGUGUGUCAGGCCUGUGCCAGAUCCUGGGGUUGCAGCACAGACAAGACCAGCAUGGCCCAUGGAGAUCACCAAACAGGAGAGACUGAAAUCUCACUGAUAAUCACACAGACAAUUCCCCUCCUGUCCUCAGUCAUCUUCCCAUCCUCUGCCUGACUGACAUAUUCUGUUUUGGAAGACCACAGUAUCUUUCAAAUGACCUCCCACAAGCUCCCAGUCACUGCAUUGCACGGAAAGCUGGACAUCAGGGUGGUGACGAUCUGAAUGAUCUCUGCACCACCUUAGGAGGAAAGCUGGAGCAAGCAUGGAAACAUUUUGGGGUCAACAGAUUUUUGCCAAGAAGGAGCUGUAAGGUGAUCCUCCAGUACUGAACUUCGCUAGCCCUUUCUGUAAAACAAAUUCCCCUUAUAAACAUGAGGUGAGUUCCUGCAAGGUGAAAAGAAACAUUACUAAACGCAAAUAGCCAAACAAAUAAUUGCAACCCAUACACCUUGUGCUGGGCACCUCUAGGCUCUGGGGCCCAGUCAGCUGGGAAUCAGACGCCUGGCAUAAAACAUGCUUAAAGUCACAGAAACUCAGGGCUAGAUUCACUAAGCAGAAACAGGCAAUACAUUUCUCUCUGGUCUUCCAGCCUAUACAUUUCAAACUUGGUAACUGUUUUCUAUUUGGGGUUGGGGAGAAUAUUCUAAGUUUCACACACCUGUUUCCAUGGUCUUGACAUUCUGUCUCUAUGUGAAUGGGCUCUGCCCAUACAAAGGGAAUGUCUGGGGUCCAUUCCCUUUGUAGUUACUCACGUACCAGUCUCUGGGGACAAGUCCCUCCAUAAAGGUCACCACCUCCCAACAAGCUUCUCCAAUUCCCUCCCCACGUCCACAGCCUUAGAUGCUUACCACUGUGGAAACAAUCCUCUCCUUCCAAUCUCCAAGAAAUAAACUCUUCAGAAAUCCAAAAUGUCUUAUUUGACCUGAAUGUGUCCUCUAUCUUUACAAUGCCUGACUCAUGGAAAGCUUGCAAAUGAAUAAUAACAGUUAUCAUUGUAGUUAAGAUGU